rnacentral:rRNA from 1 species
AUUGAACGCUGGCGGCAUGCCUUACACAUGCAAGUCGAACGGCAGCACGGGGCAACCUGGUGGCGAGUGGCGAACGGGUGAGUAAUGCAUCGGAACGUACCUUUCAGUGGGGGAUAACGUAGCGAAAGUUACGCUAAUACCGCAUAUUCUGUGAGCAGGAAAGCAGGGGAUCGUAAGACCUUGCGCCGAUUGAGCGGCCGAUGUCAGAUUAGCUAGUUGGUGAGGUAAAGGCUCACCAAGGCGACGAUCUGUAGCGGGUCUGAGAGGAUGAUCCGCCACACUGGAACUGAGACACGGUCCAGACUCCUACGGGAGGCAGCAGUGGGGAAUUUUGGACAAUGGGGGCAACCCUGAUCCAGCCAUGCCGCGUGAGUGAAGAAGGCCUUCGGGUUGUAAAGCUCUUUCGGCCGGGAAGAAAUCGCACGGGCUAAUACCCUGUGUGGAUGACGGUACCGGAAUAAGAAGCACCGGCUAACUACGUGCCAGCCGCCGCGGUAACAC